rnacentral:rRNA from 1 species
UACGAAGGGGGCUAGCGUUGCUCGGAAUCACUGGGCGUAAAGCGCACGUAGGCGGCUUUUUAAGUCAGGGGUGAAAUCCUGGAGCUCAACUCCAGAACUGCCUUUGAUACUGAGAAGCUUGAGUUCGGGAGAGGUGAGUGGAACUGCGAGUGUAGAGGUGAAAUUCGUAGAUAUCAGGAGGAACACCAAUGGCGAAGGCAGCUCGCUGGAACGGUACUGACGCUGAGGCGCGAAAGCGUGGGGAGCGAACAGG